rnacentral:lncRNA from 1 species
AGUUGGAGUGAGAGGGUAGGGGGAAAAGAGAGAGGGGGAAGCCCUCUUUAUAGUGACGCGGGUGAGGAGCUUUAUGGCGGGCUCUAAAUCGCGUAUUGAAGACGGGUGUAAUGGAGGUGCUCGCUAGAUUCCCGGACCGAGGGUUGAAGACGACUUACAGGUGGGCACCACCUGUCAGCGACUGCAGGCGCGCGGGUGGCGGCUGGCGGGGCGGGCUUGCUGGGCCGGCUUGCUGGGCUGGGCUGUGUGCGCGCGCGGGGGCGAGUGGGCCGGUUCGGCCCGUUUGGCCGGGCCGGUCCGGUUUUCCUUUUUUUUGUUCUUUUUCCUUUCUCCUUUACUUUUUCUGUUUUUCCUUUAUAUCUUUUGAUUUGGAACUCCAAAUGACCUCAAAGAAAUUCCAGAAAAUUUGUAAAAUCAUAUCCUUUAAUGCCAUAGCAUCUGGGACUUGAUUUCUUCCAAAAGCAAAUUAUUAAAAUUAGUUUUGCUUAAAUACUUGCCUCUAGUGCAAUAAUAUUUAGAAACGAAAUAGUUUUUCAACUCCAAAAUAAAUUCUAAAAAUUAUGGGGUAGCUCAUCUUAUUGCAUUAAACCCCUUUCUAUUGCUUUCAACCCCAUGGGUUGAUAAAUUCCAAACAGAUGCAAAUUAAAAAUUUAAAAAGACAAAAGUUGUGCUAAAAGGUUUUAAAACUUUAAAUCUUCGGCUUAAGGUACUCGAAAUGCAUAAAUGAUAUGAUGCUGAUGAGUGCAUUUGCAUGAUGCAAAGUUUGGGAAAAAUUGGGAUGUUACAGACCUAACCCCCUUGAGAUGAAUCUCGUCCCCGAGAUUCUGGUUGGCUAGGAAAGUGGUGUGGGUGGUCUUCUCGAAGAUCGUCUUCGCGUUCCCAGGUGGCUUCCUCUUCGGUGUGAUGGUCCCAUUGUACUUUGC